rnacentral:rRNA from 1 species
UACGGGGGGAGCAAGCGUUGUUCGGAUUUACUGGGCGUAAAGGGCGCGUAGGCGGCCACUGCAAGUCGGUUGUGAAAUCUCCCGGGCUUAACCCGGAAAGGUCAAUCGAUACUGCAGGGCUAGAGUGCGGAAGGGCAAACUGGAAAUUCUCGGUGUAGCGGUGAAAUGCGUAGAUAUCGAAGAGGAACACCUGCGGCGAAGGCGGUUUGCUGGGCCGAACACUGACGCUGACAGCGCGAAAGCUAGGGAGCGAA